ACGUGGCACACGGCUCAGUAACACGUAGUCAACAUAACCAGAGGACGUGGAUAAACUCGGGAAACUGAGGCUAAACCGCGAUAGACCAAGAUACCUGGAAUGGUUUUUGAUCAAAAUCUAUAUGGCCUUUGGAUUGGACUGCGACCGAUCAGGCUGUUGGUGAGGUAAUGGCCCACCAAACCUGUAACCGGUACGGGCUCUGAGAGGAGGAGCCCGGAGAUGGGUACUGAGAAAAGGACCCAGGCCCUAUGGGGCGCAGCAGGCGCGGAACCUCUGCAAUAGGCGAAAGCCUGACAGGGUUAUUCUGAGUGACUUUCGCUAAGAAAGUCUUUUGACAUCUCUAAAAAUGGUGUAGAAUAAGGGGUGGGCAAGUCUGGUGUCAGCCGCCGCGGUAAUACCAGCACCCCGAGUGGUCGGGACGAUUAUUGGGCCUAAAGCAUCCGUAGCCGGUUUUACAAGUCCUCCGUUAAAUCCAACUGCUUAACAGAUGGGCCGCGGAGGAUACUAUAAGACUAGGAGGCAGGAGAGGCAAGCGGUACUCAGUGGGUAGGGGUAAAAUCCGUUGAUCCAUUGAAGACCACCAGUGGCGAAGGCGGCUUGCCAGAAUGCGCUCGACGGUGAGGGAUGAAAGCUGGGGGAGCAAACCGGAUUAGAUACCCGGGUAGUCCCAGCUGUAAACGAUGCAGACUCGGUGAUGGACUAGCUUAAUGCUAGUCCAGUGCCGCAGGGAAGCCGUUAAGUCUGCCGCCUGGGUAGUACGGUCGCAAGACUGAAACUUAAAGGAAUUGGCGGGGGAGCACCACAAGGGGUGAAGCCUGCGGUUCAAUUGGAUUCAACGCCGGG
rnacentral:rRNA from 1 species